AGUUGGUGGAGUGAUUUGUCUGCUUAAUUGCGAUAACGAACGAGACCUCUACUUACUAAAUAGCAGUGGGAAGCAAGCUUCUCACAGGCUUCUUAGCAGAACUUCGUAUGUCUAAUACGAGGAAGUUGGAGGCAAUAACAGGU
rnacentral:rRNA from 1 species